UCAAUAGCCUAACGGCUGAACCAGCAACUUGGAGGAAUGUAUAGCAAUAGCUGAUUGCACCAACAAACAGUUGAUGCAAUAUCGACUCUGUCGAAUAAAAUUCUAGGUAGAAUUAUGAUAAUGACAUUGUCUACCUAUGUGUCUUGACCAAAUUACGUGCCAGCAGUCGCGGUAAUACGUAAAAGACUAGUGUUAUUCAUCUUUAAUAGGUUUAAAGGGUACCUAGACGGUAAAUCAAGCCUUAGUCGGGACUAAUUUACUAGAGUUACUUGUGAGGGGGUAUUAAAGUACUGCUGGUGUAGAGAUGAAAUUCUGUCAUACCUCUUUUCGAAAGAAAAAUAAUGGCACAGGUAUAGGCGAAAGCAUCCCCUUAUGUGAUAACUGACGUUGAAGGACGAAGGCUUUGUGCCGCGAACAGGAUUAGAUACCCCAGUAGUCAAAGCAGAAAAUGAUGAAUGUCAUAGGUUAGAUAAUAUUUAUCCUAUAAAUGAAAGUGUAAGCAUUCCACCUCAAGAGUAAUUUGGCAACAUUGGAACUGAAAUCAUUAGACCGUUUCUGAAACCAGUAGUGAAGUAUGUUGUUUAAUUUGAUGUUCCGCAAAAAACCUUACCACAAUUUGAAUAUUUAUAUUUAUUUUUUUUUCUUCUGUUCUAUUAUGACGUUUUCUUGUUUCUCUUUUUUGUGGUUUUUUUCAUCUUUCCUGGUAUUUUCAUCUUUCUUGACUAUUUUUUUUUUUUUAAGUUU
rnacentral:rRNA from 1 species